GAAGCUGCGUGCUCGGUGGAAGACGACGACCAUCCCCGAUAGAGGAGGACCGUUCUUCGGUCAAGGGUAUACGAGUAGCUGCGCUCCCCUGCUAGAACCUCCAAACAAGCUCUCAAUGUCCAGUUUUCCAGCACCUUUUAGUUAAGA
rnacentral:sRNA from 1 species